CUUAGCUCCUCAUCUCACUAUCAGCAGAGAGCUAUUACUGAACAGUGAAAGGGGAAGGCUUCUUUGUCGAUCCCAUCAUAACUCUGACCUUUUGGUCCUCCUGCAGAUGCUCCAGUGGCUUUGACCGCUAUCGCCAGGAGUGGAUGGACUACGGCUGUGCACAGGAGGCAGAGGGCAGGACGUGCGAGGACUUCCAGGAUGAGGACCACGACUUGGCCUCCCCUGACACUUCCUUCAGCCCCUAUGAUGGAGACCUCACCACUACCUCCUCCUCCCUCUUCAUCGACAGCCUCACCACAGAAGGCCUUCAGAACAACCUGUCCCCCAAGACAAAGGGCA
rnacentral:sRNA from 1 species